rnacentral:tRNA from 1 species
GAGAUAUUAGUCUAAAUAAAACAGCUGAUUUCGACUCAGCAAUUUGUGGUUUAAAUCCACAAUAUCUCU